GGAAGCGCUCAGGGGCUGGUGCCUCUCACGGUCUUCAAAACCGCUGUCCCGUGCCGGUUGCGGCAUGGGGGGUGGGUUCGAUUCCCAUGCGCUUCCGCCA
rnacentral:tRNA from 1 species